UGAGGAAUAUUGGACAAUGGGCGGAAGCCUGAUCCAGCCAUGCCGCGUGAAGGACUAAGGCCCUACGGGUCGUAAACUUCUUUUGACGCAGAGCAAUAAGGUCCACGUGUGGACCGAUGAGAGUAUGCGUCGAAUAAGCAUCGGCUAACUCCGUGCCAGCAGCCGCGGUAAUACGGAGGAUGCGAGCGUUAUCCGGCUUUAUUGGGUUUAAAGGGUGCGCAGGCUGUGCAUCAAGUCAGCGGUAAAAUCUCGGGGCUCAACCCCGUUUAGCCGUUGAAACUGGUGUGCUGGAGUGUGCGCGAGGAAGGCGGAAUGCGCGGUGUAGCGGUGAAAUGCAUAGAUAUUGCGCAGAACUCCGAUUGCGAAGGCAGCCUUCCAGUGCAUGACUGACGCUGAGGCACGAAAGCGUGGGUAUCGAACAGG
rnacentral:rRNA from 1 species